AUUGUGCUGGUAUCAUGGUACUGGUAUUGGAUUGUAUGCAUGUACUGUGUUUCCAUCAUCGCGCAUGGCUAAAUCUCUCCUCGAGAUCUCCGUGGAAAAGGUCUUCCUGACUGCAGCAUGAUAUCUGUGGAGCGAUCGCGCCUGAAGAUGAACUUUCUAGGAAAAAAACAAAUUCAAGCACACCUGAGAAAAGUGAUGUUCAUUGGAAUGGACUCUGGAUCUGAACUGAUCUGAGUUAAUUGGUGUUAUAAACAUUUCAAAGACAUCUAUUGUACUGUAUGCUUUCAUGGUGCAAAACGUAUAAUAUGUGCUACAUUCUUUUUUGCGAGGUGAAACAAGAGGCAUUUGAUUCAACAUG
rnacentral:lncRNA from 1 species